UUAACUCAAAUUUGUAUGAAGUUAGAACGUUUGCCUGCGUUUGCCGCUAGGGGCGCUGUACCAACUGCAUACGAAUUAAAAAAA
rfam:Bombyx mori DNA, contig: Bm_scaf153_contig40265, strain: p50T/Dazao, build 2, whole genome shotgun sequence.